AAGCCUGAUGCAGCGACGCCGCGUGAGGGAUGACGGCCUUCGGGUUGUAAACCUCUUUCAGUAGGGAAGAAGCGAAAGUGACGGUACCUGCAGAAGAAGCGCCGGCUAACUACGUGCCAGCAGCCGCGGUAAUACGUAGGGCGCAAGCGUUAUCCGGAAUUAUUGGGCGUAAAGAGCUCGUAGGCGGUUUGUCGCGUCUGCCGUGAAAGUCCGGGGCUCAACUCCGGAUCUGCGGUGGGUACGGGCAGACUAGAGUGAUGUAGGGGAGACUGGAAUUCCUGGUGUAGCGGUGAAAUGCGCAGAUAUCAGGAGGAACACCGAUGGCGAAGGCAGGUCUCUGGGCAUUAACUGACGCUGAGGAGCGAAAGCAUGGGGAGCGAACAGGAUUAGAUACCCUGGUAGUCCAUGCCGUAAACGUUGGGCACUAGGUGUGGGGGACAUUCCACGUUUUCCGCGCCGUAGCUAACGCAUUAAGUGCCCCGCCUGGGGAGUACGGCCGCAAGGCUAAAACUCAAA
rnacentral:rRNA from 1 species